AGGACGGCCCUUGUGAACGGCGUCGGGAUGUGUGGGGGCUGUGUGGAGAAGGAGUAUCCCAACCGGGUGAGCGAGUGGGCGCCGAGAACUUCUCGCCCCCUUGGCCGGUGGCCAGCCCCCGAGGCUCCUCAUACCCCGGGCCGGCCUUCCUUGAGAGGCCGAGCGCGGGACGACCCUGCCGCUCUGCCCAUUCCGGUGACCCGGUAGCUGUAUUUAGGCACUUGACGGCGGGGGCGGCCGGUGGCCGUGGGUUCUGCCCGCCGGUCCACGCCCUGGGGGCUGAUCUCAGCCGUCGCCCCACUUCUCUUAAGUUCCAGGGUACAACAAAGGAAACCCCACACCACCAACAAUCCAGUCGACGACAAAGGGACACCCUCCCGCCACCGCUGAUGACAUUGUCAAGCUUGAUUUGGUGAAAUUCACUUUUCUUACUGAAGUCUAGCGCUGGAAGGGACCUCUGAGGUCAUCUGUCGUUAACACGGUUUUGCAGAUGAAACUAAUGCCCAGAGAGGGGAAAUAAAUUUCACAUUCUGUUAACCUGAGAGUCAAGGCCAGAAAUCAGAUUUCCUGAGUAUUUAAAAAAAUACCUGUUCCUCUCAAUCUGCGGAGGUUGCCGAAGCUUGUUUACUCUCAUUUAUUCAAGGGUAACAUCUGCCUGGAGAAUGGAUCUUUCUUGCUGAACUUUACAGGCUGUGCAGUGUGCAAUAAGCGGGAUUUUAUGCUGAUCACAAACAAAUCUUUGAAGGAGGAGGAUGGAGAAGAAAUAGUUACCUAUGAUCAUCUGUGUAAGAAUUGCCAUCACGUAGUAGCCAGGCAUGAGUACACGUUCAGUAUCAUGGAUGAAUUUCAGGAGUAUACCAUGCUGUGUCUGUUAUGUGGCAAAGCUGAAGAUACUAUCAGUAUUCUCCCUGAUGACCCUCGACAAAUGACUCUGUUAUUCUGAGGAUCCCUGCAGUUCUUCAGUAACUAUGUUGUGUUGGUUUACAAUAUAGCAAGCCUGAUGGUUUGUCUUACGUAGUUUAUAAUGGAAAUUAGUUGCAUAUUUUUUUCUGCUUAGACUUAACUAUCCUUAGAAAGAAAAAGUAAUUUAGGGGAUUAUGCUGAGCUCCUCUGCUAAAGUUCCCAGUUCACAUCAGAAUGAAGCCAGAAUGAAGAAUCUCUGUUAGAAGUUAUAUGGCUGGAAGAUAUAACUAGAAUGGGAGUAUACCUAAUGCCCACAUCUUGGUUCCAAUAAAAGGAACCAGGACUCCUUGGAAAAGUGAUUGAUUCUAGGACGAGGGCAGUAAAUAUACAAGACGAGCUUGGAGCAUUUUGUGUCACAAAGAAAGUGCUCAAAAAAAACCCUCACAAAACACAAUGAUUGGGAGUAUGUCAAAGGGGCAAAAAAGCCAACUCAAGGAGCUCCCUGUGACCAAAGUUGGAACAGUUUGAGCAACAGAAUAAAGUAGUAUUGGAUUAUAAUCCAAACUAUAAAUGAGUCCUUACUGAUAUAAGUGAAUGAUUGAAUAAGUAAAUACAUGAAUUGGAAGAGUAGACAAAUUGCCCAUGCAGAAGAAUUUCAAAUAAUGUUAUGUAGAUGUUCCCUACUCCUUAAGUGUGGGUUAUAAAUAGCAACUCCCGACUGUAUAGCAGAAUUGGGUAGAGUUGAGCAUGCAAAAGGAGAAAAGUAACAGUGGGAAAACCUGACAAACACUAGCUCAGCCAAGUGACCAAGAUUAACAUCCUCAGUGAUCAUCCUGUUGAUAACAACAUGUACCCUUGAUAUGAUAUCAUGGGAGGGCACUUUGCCUUUGUGGUCUUCCUCCCAAAAACCCAUAACUCCAGUCUAUUCAUGGGAAAAACAUCAGACAAAUCCCACUUGAGAGCCAUUCUGCAAAAUACCUGACCGUUACUCCCCAAAAUUGUCAAGGCCAUUAAAGACAAGUCUGGGAAACUCUCACUAAAGAGACAUGACAACUAAAUGUAAUGAGGUAUCCUGGAUGGGAUCCUGGGACAGAAAAAGUGCAUUUGGUUAAAACUAGCAAAACCUGAAUAAAGUGUAGACUUUAAUUAACAUAAGUAAAUAGAAUGAUUUCAGCUGCUCCAAAGAGAUCUUAGAAUAUCUCACCUUGUGUAGUUGAAAGAACACUGGCUUGGGUGUUAUAAACCCUGGAAUUUAGGCCUCUCUGCCAUUGGUAACAGUAUAACCAUUAAGCAAAGUGUUACUCUGGUCUUUAUUGUCCCAUUUCUAUUAGAUUAGGCUAAUAAAAAUUGAUAUUUUACUUCCUUCACAGUAUUGUUAGAAGAUCCAAAUAAACAAUGAAUAUAAAAUGUGUUGGAAAGCAUAUCGAGUACUAGAUGGCAAUGAGAUGGCUUUGGUUGAUUCUUCUCAGUCUGAGACCAAAACUUAAAGGGUCAGGCAUUAGAAACAAAAUUGUUUCCUCUUCAUAUCCAAGAAAUUUGGAAAUUCUGAACUAAAGCUUUGCUAAAGUGAGGUGAGCAAGGUGUUCAUUGUUGACACCAGAGAAGUUUUGUUGUAUAACAGGAACGCUAAUGCUGAGGUUUAUUGAGCACUUACUGUAUGCCAGGGCCUUUUUAAACACUUACUUCAUCCUCAUUAACAAUUCCAUGAAGUAGGUACUAUUGUUAUCCCAAUUUUAGAGCCAAAGAAACUAAAGCACAAAGGAGCUUAAGGUCACACAACUAGUACAGUGGCUCCCUCUCAACACUCCUGCUCGGCACACAUGAAGUCUAAGGGUCUGGCAAGGUUAGGAACAAGUUGAGACUGUCAGUGACAGCACUCUGCGGAAUCUAGGCACAUCAGACCAAGAUUUGUUAUUCAGAAAAGUUAAGUCAUCUGCUCCUCAGGGAUCAGUUGUGUUAUUCCUGGAAGACGUUUUCCACUUUUCUGCAAAUCUAUAUCUGACCUGCUGAGGAAAUUGUUUGGUGAAAUGGAUCCAGAAAGCAGAGAAAAUGCUUCAUUACUUUAAAUAGCAGCACUAAGCCCAUUAUAGCCUCUGAAUUGUCCCUUCUUGGAGUUUGCUAAUGCUUCCAACUUAGUCAUUUGGAGCUCAAGGGUAUGACUUUAUAAGCCCCUACUGAUAUCCUUGUCUAUUACAGACUGUAUAAUUAUCUAUCUGUUUUGGACUGUAUCCUACAAAAUUUAAAACAUAAGGUCCUAUCCACAUAUGUCAUUAUUAAACCAACCUUGUGCUGUGUUUUGUGAUACUUUCUUUAUCUUCUAGAAUUCUUUUAUGGGUCUAAUCAAAUAAAGACCUCUUCAACCCAG